rnacentral:rRNA from 1 species
GGUAGGAAGAAGAUUCUAAGGCCAACGGGAGAAGGGUUGUUAAGGAACUCGGCAAAUUGACCCCGUAACUUCGGGAGAAGGGGUGCUCCAGAGAUGGAGCCGCAGAGAAUCGGCCCAAGCAACUGUUUACCAAAAACACAGGUUUGUGCUAAAUCGAAAGAUGACGUAUACGAGCUGACGCCUGCCCGGUGCUGGAAGGUUAAGAGGAGAUGUGCAAGCAUUGAAUCGAAGCCCCAGUGAACGGCGGCCGUAACUAUAACGGUCCUAAGGUAGCGAAAUUCCUUGUCAGGUAAGUUCUGACCCGCACGAAAGGCGUAAUGAUUUGGGCACUGUCUCAACAGCCCGCCCGGCGAAAUUGUAGUACCGGUGAAGAUGCCGGUUACCCGCGACAAGACGGAAAGACCCCAUGGAGCUUUACUGUAGCCUAAUAUUGGGUUUCGAUGUUGCAUGCACAGGAUAGAUGGGACACUGGGAAGCAGGUGCUUUGGCGCUUGUGGAGUGGCCGUUGGGAUACCAUCCUUGCGAUAUUGGAAUUCUAACCUGCGCCUUUGAAUCAAGGCGGGGGACAUUGUUAGGUGGGCAGUUUGACUGGGGCGGUCGCCUCCUAAAGAGUAACGGAGGCGUUCAAAGGUUCGCUCAGCUUGAACGGAAAUCAAGCAAAAGAGUGCAAACGCAGAAGCGAGCCUAACUGCGAGACUGACGGGUCGAGCAGUAACGAAAGUUGGAGUUAGUGAUCCGGUGGUAUGUGAGUGGAAAUGCCAUCGCUCAACGGAUAAAAGUUACCCUGGGGAUAACAGGCUGAUCUCCCCCAAGAGUCCACAUCGACGGGGAGGUUUGGCACCUCGAUGUCGGCUCAUCGCAUCCUGGGGCUGUAUUCGGUCCCAAGGGUUUGGCUGUUCGCCAAUUAAAGCGGUACGCGAGCUGGGUUCAGAACGUCGUGAGACAGUUCGGUCCCUAUCUGUCGUGGGCGCAGGAUAUUUGAUGGGAGCUGUCCCUAGUACGAGAGGACCGGGACGGACGUACCUCUGGCGCACCAGUUGUUCCGCCAGGAGCAUAGCUGGGCAACUACGUACGGAUCGGAUAAACGCUGAAAGCAUCUAAGCGUGAAGCCGACCCAAAGAUAAGAUAUCCCACUGAUUGAAUCAGGUAAGAUCCCUUGUAGACUACGAGGUUGAUAGGCACGAUGUGUAAGUGGAGCGAUCCAUUCAGCAAGUGUGUACUAAUAGAUCGAGGGCUUGACCAC